CGUUUUUCUCAUCAGGAAAGCAGGGUUUGGCCACAAUGAAAAUUUCAGGGGAAGUGUCUGGUUUUAUUGUUGGAAAAUUUACUAUCACACACUGCAGAGAACUGGGGGUGAGCUGCUUUUUCUCUGGUGGCUGAGGACAAGACAGUCUGCAGCAGUCGAUAUGCUUAUGUGUUGGGAUUUUUGCUAUUGCUUGGCGGCAGCUGAAAUAAAAAUAAUGAGUCAGACUGAAAACGAACAGAUGGUGAAGCGUUUUCCCCUCGCCGGCAUGAACUAAGGUGGCUUGACAAGGGAUAGGGGCUGGAUCGGAGCUGCAGCGCAGGACAUGAUCCAAGCGAGUGGGCUGCAUCUGGUGCGUGGGCUCUGAGGGUCCAGCUCCUUCACAGAGAUGGCCCCAUGUGUCUGAAGGAAGCCAGUGCGUCCCUGCAUGCAGGAGCAGUGUGUACAGAUACAUACCAGUAUCAGCCCUGGUACUGGGAACCUCAUGCUCCGUCCUUGCAAAUAAAUCUGUCAUUUGGUCCCCA